rnacentral:misc_RNA from 1 species
AACACGAUAUCGUAUCAAAAAUCAGUAACACUUGAAUUUACGUCAAAGGCGGCGUAGACAGUAAUACAUCUAGCAGCUUGACUAUGAAAUGAUUUUAUUAACGUAUUAUAAAAACCAGACUCUAAAUGCGACCAGAGGGACAACAUGGUACAAGGGCAUCCAUGUACAAGGAGAAUGUAUGAGAUUCAAAUUCGAGACUUAAAUAAAUAUUGUGACAAUAUCUAGCAAUGACAUUGGACAGUCAUCUUUCGUUCGCGUGUAUGGUUGCUGCUGUAUCGUUGUCGUAGAUCAACUUGAUCAUGCCAGGUAGCUAUAUGUGUCCUUUUGACCCUCUGUGCGCUCCAGAUAUUCUUUCUCAAUUAAAAUAUCUAUACAUUUCUGAAAGAGCAGAAUCAUCUUAUAUUAAGGUUACAUCUUCUUCAUUUCAAUUUAUUUUCUCAAAUAUUUCUAUUCAUCGAUAUCAUGUUAUGAAAAAUCAAUAUAAGAAAAAAUACACGUUUACACAUGUUAAAAAAUUAUUCGCAUAUAUUUCUAUAUAUGAAAAUAUCUUAAAAAACAAUGUCGUUUAUACGUACCUUAAUAACGUGUACUCUUGGUUUGAACCUAGAGCUUAAUUGAUUCAAUACUUCAGCUACCAAUUGUUGAUGUUUGAGUACUUUUCUCAUUUUCAUAAUCCUAACAAUAGCUGCCUGAAUUAAGAGUUUUCUAUCUUCUUCUAUAUUUUUUUGUGUUGUUUCCUGUUCAAUCUUUAAUUCCGUUUUCAUUGGUAUAUUGAUAUUAACCCGCAGCUUCUUGCUGUCAUAAAAGAAAUAUAUUAAUAUAAUUUCUGAUAAGGUAAAUAUCACAGACUAUUAAAUAGAGUUACUUUUUAUAUCCUGUGAAAAGCUCAACUGUUGACAGUGGUGUCAAUUCAGCUUCGUCAUCAGUAGCUGCCGUUAAUAGUUUAGCUUUCAAGAGUAUUUGAAUAACCUGUAACAAUGAAUAUAUUAUCUAGGCUCUAUUUUAUAUGUUAAUUCUUUCCAUCUUGUUAUAUUACCUGAAGCAAAAAAUCCAUUUUUAUCUGUGUAGCAUCAUGUAAUUGUUGUAUCGUCCAUACAGUAGAACCAUUAUAUUGUAAGAGAACAGCCAUUUGAAACGUGGAUGCUUGCAACGUGUAUCUGCAAUAAAAGAAUGAAACCUCAUUUGCAAUUGACACAAAAUAUUUAUUAUAAUUUUAACUUAAAUUUUAUUGUUAAAUAUUUUAUGACCUGUUUUUGAAACAAUUUGUAUGCAAUUCUCCUUUAGACAUAUUGUACAACCAAUUCAACUUUCUUCCACUAUGCUGUGAACUAUAGAAAGUGGUGAACCUAUGUACAGAUCUCUCUAGCUGUAAUGCAAAGAUAAUAUUUAAAUGAUACUAUUAUCAUAAAAUGAAUUAUUCAAUUCCAUUUACCUCUGUUGGUAAUGAAAAUGUAAAGGAUUGUUGAAAAGGCCAAGAACCAGAAGACAACACUUGUAUAUUGAAAUCUAUAUCCAAUGGUUCAGCAGAAUUUGUCAAAUGUCUUCUAAACUGCUCAUUUAGAUCUUUAGACACACCAAUAUCCUGUGAACAGACUGCUAUAAUUAUAAUGUUA